GUUAAAAUAUAAGCAGUUGCUUUCUCUUUCAAAGUCUCAGUUUCCAUAUUUGUCAAAUGUGAGUAAUAAUAUUCUUAUAAGACAGUGGUAGAGACUAGAUAAGAUAAUGUGUUAUGUAUAGUAAAUGCCAAAAAAGUAGCUAUUAUAUAUUUAUUUCUUAGAAUUCCUGGCUUCCUCUUCUGCCUGCUUAGGAGUCUAUGAGUGGGCCCAAACAGAAAUGUUUGCAGAGGAAAACUCGGGACUGUUUGUGAUUGAUGAGAAGUAGGCAACUACUGAAUACUCCUUCAGGAGUUUCUGAAGACCUCCAUGCCCCUUGUGCCCUGCCACUCCUCCUAUUUCCUCCAUGAGAUCGCACAGAGUUCACCUAAAGCCAGGUUUUCAGAUUUUGAACUGUAAAGGAGACCUUGGGCCGCCAGUUCCUGUAAUUUUAAUCCCUUCACGAGCAGGGUCUUGAGGAUCAGCUGCAUCACUGCUGUUCUGCUUGCUGCUGUUUAACUCCACACAGAAUCAGAAUUGGAAAAGAUCUGGGAAACAUGGAAUCCAGUGGCUUCCAAAGUGUUCUCCUUUGGGAAGGAUGAUGUCCCAUGGGAGAUGCCUCAGUGGUUUCUGAGAGAGGGACCAAAGGUC
rnacentral:lncRNA from 1 species